rnacentral:rRNA from 1 species
UUCCGGUUGAUCCUGCCGGACCCCACUGCUAUCGGGAUAGGACUAAGACAUGCUAGUCAAGCGCUCGCCAGCCAAAGGUGAGUGCGGCGCACAGCUCAGUAACACGUGGCUAACCUGCCCUUGGGACGGGGACACCCCCGGGAAACUGGGGUUAAUCCCCGAUAGGCGAAGAACUCUGGAAUGAAUCUCCACCUAAAAGGCGCUUGCGCUAUGCUCGCAGGUGUCGCCCAAGGAUGGGGCCGCGACCGAUCAGGUUGUUGGUGAGGUAAUGGCUCACCAAGCCUUUUACCGGUGCGGGCCGUGGGAGCGGGAGCCCGGAGAUGGGCACUGAGACAAGGGCCCAGGCCCUACGGGGCGCAGCAGUCGCGAAAACUUUGCAAUACACGAAAGUGUGACAGGGCUAUCCCGAGUGCCAUCCGCUGAGGAAGGCUUUUACCCAGUUUAGAACGCUGGGAGAAUAAGGAGAGGGCAAGACUGGUGUCAGCCGCCGCGGUAAUACCAGCUCUUCGAGUGGUGUGGAUGUUUAUUGGGCCUAAAGCAUCCGUAGCUGGCUGGGCAAGUCCCCUGUUAAAUCCACCGAUUUAAUCGUUGGAGUGCGGGGGAUACUGCUCGGCUAGGGGACGGGAGAGGCAGACGGUAUUUUCGGGGUAGGGGUGAAAUCCUAUAAUCCCGGGAAGACCACCAGUGGCGAAGGCUGUCUGCUAGAACGCGCCCGACGGUGAGGGAUGAAAGCUGGGGGAGCGAACCGGAUUAGAUACCCGGGUAGUCCCAGCUGUAAACGAUGCAGGCUAGGUGUUUGGACGGCCACGUGCCGUUCUAGUGCCGCAGGGAAGCCGUUAAGCCUGCCGCCUGGGGAGUACGGCCGCAAGGCUGAAACUUAAAGGAUUGGCGGGGGAGCACCAC